ACAAGAACCUGCAGCAGGAGAUCUCAGACCUGACUGAACAAAUCGGUGAGACUGGAAAGACCAUCCAUGAGCUUGAGAAGGCCAAGAAGACAGUAGAGACAGAAAAGUCAGAAAUCCAGACUGCUCUAGAGGAAGCUGAGGGUACACUGGAGCAUGAGGAGUCUAAGAUCCU